UCAGGUCGUAAUCAGACAAGAGAAUUACGACCAGUUCACAGUUGUCCUCACGGGAAGAUGCAGUCAAAGUACAUAAUUAUUUCAUAGAUUUAUGAGUUCCUGUUCUCUGUGAGAAGGUUUAUACGAACUAUGAAGAAUUAAAUCAGAUAAUGGAGUGUCAUCCAUGUCGUGAACAGGGUCAAAACGCAUCUGCAGAAUUUUUGUGCACCGAAUGUGAGGAAGCGCUUUGUGAAAACUGUUAAUUCUUACACAGAUCAUUCAAAGUUAGCCGAAAUCACAACGUGUCUGCAUUGCCACCCCUUUCAGGAAACCAAUCGCCCAACAAGCAGAUAGAACUGGGAGAUAAUGGAAAAGACAAAUGGCUCAUAUGUGAUGAACAUCAAGAUAAAUAUUUAGAAUACUUUUGUAUAAAACAUGACAAGCCGUGUUGUAUUCUUUGUAAACGACAAUACCAUAGGGAUUGUUGCGAAGUUGAAAAGAUUGAUGACGUUGUAGAUAAACACAAACUGGCAACUGCCACAGUAAACCUCUUAUCAGGGAUCGAAAAACACAAAAACGUUUUAACAAAAGCUGCAAACAAUGAAAUAUCACAUAUGGGAGAUUUCGAAACCAUAAAAGUUAAGUGUAUUAAAGAAUUAAAGAACACUAGAAUUACUAUUGAUAAGCAUCUAGAUUUUUUGCAAAAUGAGGUCGAGCAAGACAUAAACAAUACGUAUGAUAACGACAGUUUGGAAUUAAGCAAAAGGGUAAAGGAUCUUUCAGCCAAAAUAGAAUAUAUAACCGACCUACAAAAAAAUAUAGAUGACACUGCAAACCAAUCAAAGUUGUCUUUGGGACAAAAAUAUUUGAUGAUAAUGCAUAUGAAACAUUUGGAGGAUGGUAAUAUGGAAAGUCAAAAGACCCUACCAGAAUGCAAUUUGACUGGUAUCAGUAACUUCAAAUUGUCUUACGAGAAAACUGAAGAUAGUAUAACCAUACGAAUUAAUCGCAAUUUGCCGAUGACAGAUCACAAGCUAGAAAAAUCUCUUGAAAAUGAAGAUGAGAUUGAAUCGUGCUCUUCUGUAGUUGAACUUGAAGCAAACAAACCAGAAGCAGACAGUUUUGCAUUGCCUGAACCAGUUCCAGAUUUAACUUCUCCUCAGACAAAUGCGACUUCUAUGCCUGACUCAUGUCCUUCUACAUUGCCUUCAGAAUUGUCAUCAGUGUCAUCACCUGUGACAUUGUCGUCAUUUUCUGUAACUCAAACUACUCAGGUUCCUUGUGCAGCAGCCAGCGGAGAAGGUUCAACAUUCGAAUUCUUUCUCAGGAAUUCGUUUUUUAUUGAAAAAAGAAACAAAAAUAUUUGCAUUACUGAUGCAAAAUUCAUGCCAAACAGUUUUUAUAUAGCUAUAACAGAAAAAUGGAAUCCUAGGUUGAAAAUAAUUUAUUUGUUUCAUGUAAUGACCAUAACUUAAUUUGUGUAAAGCAGUCACUUCAUUCACCCACCAACGUUGUAUUAGACCGUUCAGAUGGCAUUGAACGACCAUGGAGUAUAGACUACGAUCUCAAUAAUGAUGAGCUGCUCGUGAUGAAUGAUAAUUCACGUUCAGUAUUUAUAUUCAAGAAAAAGUAACAAAGCCAAUGUUCAUAACGUUAAAUGCGUAUGACGAUCUUUACUGUGUAUAAUCAUUUCCGUGUCAAGUAAACUCGAGUUUUGUCACCUUU